AGUGAGCGACAGGACACGGAUGAGA
rnacentral:misc_RNA from 1 species